AUUCUGCCCAUGCGGGGAAGGAUGAGAAGCUUCGACUAAGGUUCGGCUCGAGCGUCAGCGAGAGAGCGUUGCCGCAGGCAACGACCCGAAGGGCGAAGC
rnacentral:sRNA from 1 species